rnacentral:rRNA from 1 species
AACGAACGCUGGCGGCAUGCCUAACACAUGCAAGUCGAACGAGACCUUCGGGUCUAGUGGCGCACGGGUGCGUAACGCGUGGGAACCUGCCCUUAGGUUCGGAAUAACUCCCCGAAAGGGGUGCUAAUACCGGAUAAUGUCUUCGGACCAAAGAUUUAUCGCCUUUGGAUGGGCCCGCGUUGGAUUAGCUAGUUGGUAGGGUAAAAGCCUACAAAGGCGACGAUCCAUAGCUGGUCUGAGAGGAUGAUCAGCCACACUGGGACUGAGACACGGCCCAGACUCCUACGGGAGGCAGCAGUGGGGAAUAUUGGACAAUGGGCGAAAGCCUGAUCCAGCAAUGCCGCGUGAGUGAUGAAGGCCGUAGGGUCGUAAAGCUCUUUUACCCGGGAUGAUAAUGACAGUACCGGGAGAAUAAGCUCCGGCUAACUCCGUG